rnacentral:rRNA from 1 species
UACAGAGGCCUCAAGCGUUAGGCGGAAUCACUGGGCUUAAAGCGCGUGUAGGUGGACUUUUAAGUGCUUUGUGAAAUCCACGGCUCAACCGUGGAACUGCUGGGCAUACUGGAAGUCUUGGGCCAUCUAGGGGCAACCGGAACAAGCGGUGGAGCGGAUGAAAUGCGUAGAAUAUCGCUUGGAACGCCAAAGGUGAAGACAGGAUUGCUGGAGAUGUGCCGACACGUGAGACGCGAAAGCCAGGGGAGCAAACGGG